rnacentral:rRNA from 1 species
CCUACGGGUGGCAGCAGUGGGGAAUAUUGGACAAUGGGGGGAACCCUGAUCCAGCCAUGCCGCGUGUGUGAAGAAGGCCCUCGGGUUGUAAAGCACUUUCAGUGAGGAAGAACGCCUAGUGGUUAAUACCCAUCAGGAAAGACAUCACUCACAGAAGAAGCACCGGCUAACUCCGUGCCAGCAGCCGCGGUAAUACGGAGGGUGCGAGCGUUAAUCGGAAUUACUGGGCGUAAAGCGCGCGUAGGUGGCUUGAUAAGCCGGUUGUGAAAGCCCCGGGCUCAACCUGGGAACGGCAUCCGGAACUGUCAAGCUAGAGUGCAGGAGAGGAAGGUAGAAUUCCCGGUGUAGCGGUGAAAUGCGUAGAGAUCGGGAGGAAUACCAGUGGCGAAGGCGGCCUUCUGGACUGACACUGACACUGAGGUGCGAAAGCGUGGGUAGCAAACAGGAUUAGAUACCCGUGUAGUC